rnacentral:rRNA from 1 species
UACAGAGGGGGCAAGCGUUGUUCGGAAUUACUGGGCGUAAAGGGCGCGUAGGCGGCCUGUCAAGUCGAACGUGAAAUCCCCGGGCUCAACCCGGGGACUGCGUCCGAUACUGGCAGGCUUGAAUCCGGGAGAGGGAUGUGGAAUUCCAGGUGUAGCGGUGAAAUGCGUAGAUAUCUGGAGGAACACCGGUGGCGAAGGCGGCAUCCUGGACCGGUAUUGACGCUGAGGCGCGAAAGCCAGGGGAGCAAACGGG